ACUCAGGGCAAACAGAAAAAAAAAGGGGGACCACUCACUAAUUUGGCUUCCCUUCAAAAGAAAAAUAAUGAAGAUACAGUGAGAAGAAGGAGCGCACACACUCAUUCACCUUCUUCUUCACGGGCAAACACACAAGAACCUUCCAUUCUUCAAUUCUCCACACAUAUACACUCAUUCGCACAGAAUUCUCUACACACUACACACACAGCUCACAAUAAUCGCUCAUCCUCACUGAUUUGCGCACACCCACAUACGGGUAUACGCGCACAUCACCGGAAAGGCAGAAAUAUAGCUGAAUUGGAGAUCGGGAAAGGUGAACGGUGGGAGAUAGGUCGGAAACAGUAAAAGAGAGUAGGGAGACGAGAGAGAGAUAUAGAGGGAGAUAUAGAGGGAGAGACGAUUAGAGAAGGAGACUGAUCUUUCUCGGAUCUUCUUCUUCACAGGUACAGAAACAGCGUGAAAAAUUUCAGAAAAAAAAAAGAGAUCGAUCAGGUAGAGAGGGUGAAAAAUUGAGAGAGAGAGAGAGAGAGAGAGAGAGAGAGAGUGAAGAUUUCAAGUCGUUGGUCACUGUUCCGGCGACUUAGCUCGCCGGAAUUAGUUUUCCAUUCCUUGUUCGAUCGUUUCUCUUCGGAUUCCGGUGAUAUCUCGCCGGAAUCGACGUCAAGCUUAUCAUCUCGGCCUGCUCCAUCCUAAAGUUCCCUAGAUCCUCUCAUUCUUCUUGAUUUCUGGACAAAAUCUAGCUGGUAUUUCAUCGGGGUUCGAUUUUGUACGUGUCUUCAAUUUUCUACCGAAAAUUGGAUUUGGAUUCUGGUGGUCGGCAUUCGAUUCUGAUUUGGAUUUUUAUAUCGGAGUUGGAGCUCGUCACUGUUGAGGUUCUAUUCGAAAUUCUGAAGUUCAGGCUUUCUUAAACAUUAUUAUCGAUUGAAAUUGAUUAUCGAAAGGGGAUUCUCCGAGGUUUCAUGUAUUUAUUCACCGGGGAAUGUCCCGACGUAUUACGUACUCGGAGGACGUCCGUGACGAAGGCCCGAGGCAUCGGAGCGUAGUGUAGGACUAGUGUAGGCUAGCAUAGGUUUAUAUUUUCGCAUUUUUUUUUAUUUUGGACUGUAUAACUGGAUUGGACACUAAAUUUUGGAUUGUUUUGUUUUGUUUGUUUGAUUGAUUGUUUUGUA